UUGAACGCUGGCGGCAGGCCCAACCCCUGCCAGUCGAGCGGAUGAAGGGAGCUUGCUCCUGGAUUCAGCGGCGGACGGGUGAGUAAUGCCUAGGAAUCUGCCUGGUAGUGGGGGAUAACGUCCGGAAACGGGCGCUAAUACCGCAUACGUCCUGAGGGAGAAAGUGGGGGAUCUUCGGACCUCACGCUAUCAGAUGAGCCUAGGUCGGAUUAGCUAGUUGGUGGGGUAAAGGCCUACCAAGGCGACGAUCCGUAACUGGUCUGAGAGGAUGAUCAGUCACACUGGAACUGAGACACGGUCCAGACUCCUACGGGAGGCAGCAGUGGGGAAUAUUGGACAAAGGGCGAAAGCCUGAUCCAGCCAUGCCGCGUGUGUGAAGAAGGUCUUCGGAUUGUAAAGCACUUUAAGUUGGGAGGAAGGGCAGUAAGUUAAUACCUUGCUGUUUUGACGUUACCAACAGAAUAAGCACCGGCUAACUUCGUG
rnacentral:rRNA from 1 species